UACGUAGGUGGCAAGCGUUGUCCGGAUUUAUUGGGCGUAAAGAGCUCGUAGGCGGUUUGGCAAGUCGGGUGUGAAAUUUCGAGGCUCAACCUCGAAACGCCACUCGAUACUGCCAUGACUGGAGUCCGGUAGAGGAGUGCGGAAUUCCUGGUGUAGCGGUGAAAUGCGCAGAUAUCAGGAGGAACACCAACGGCGAAGGCAGCACUCUGGGCCGGUACUGACGCUGAGGAGCGAAAGCUAGGGGAGCAAACGGG
rnacentral:rRNA from 1 species